rnacentral:rRNA from 1 species
UGGAGCAUGUGGUUUAAUUCGAAGCAACGCGAAGAACCUUACCAGGUCUUGACAUCCCGAUGCUAUUUCUAGAGAUAGAAAGUUACCUCGGUACAUCGGUGACAGGUGGUGCAUGGUUGUCGUCAGCUCGUGUCGUGAGAUGUUGGGUUUAAGUCCCGCAACGAGCGCAACCCCUAUUGUUAGUUGCCAUCAUUCAGUUGGGCACUCUAGCGAGACUGCCGGUAAUAAACCGGAGGAAGGUGGGAUGACGUCAAAUCAUCAUGCCCCUUAUGACCUGGGCUACACACGUGCUACAAUGGUUGGUACAACGAGUUGCGAGUCGGUGACGGCGAGCUAAUCUCUUAAAGCCAAUCUCAGUUCGGAUUGUAGGCUGCAACUCGCCUACAUGAAGUCGGAAUCGCUAGUAAUCGUGGAUCAGCAUGUCACGGUGAAUACGUUCCCGGGUCUU